GCUGAACUCAUCUCAGCAUCACUGUUCACCUGCAGACCACCUGCAUAUGGCGCCUGAACAGGGACCCGAAGGAACUAAGAAGUUCUGGAUUCCUGAUAAAAGAAUCAAGUUAAGGCAUGGCGAGCAAGAGGAAGUGUGAUGAAGCGGGACUGGAAGACCAGUUUGCGCAGCUAACCAUCCAGAGGAC